UCCAAUUCUAAUUUCAAUAAUCCAACACCCAAACAGAAAACAGACCAUAACGCCACUCUCUUCCUUUUCCUUUUCCUUUUCUUUCUUCUUUCUUCCCCUCCUCUUCUCUUCUACCCCGCACGCACACUACUGCCUUUCCUUCCCCUGUUUUCCUUCCCUUCUCUUCAUCUUUCUCCAUCUCUUCCUCUCACAGUCACGCACGCCACCCAGCCCACUUCCCCUCUUCUUUUCCCUUCUUCCCUUUUCUUUCCCCUCUACGUCUAGGACACACCGGAAACACAAAGAGACAGCCGUGAGAGGAGAAGAUGGAACCGAUCAAUGGGGUUUUCUGCUUUGGAUGUCAAGAAGGAUCGUGUCCGGAUUGGAGACUUUAAUUAGUUCUCCAAUGUAGAGUUCGAGUAACUAGAAUCCAAUGGAAUAUUCGAGUUAAGAGUCCAAUGCAACCAAGAUGAUGUUCAUUUGGCUGCAGGUACUCCGGUCGUAGUUGAUGGUGUUGUAGAAGUGUACUUGAGAUAUUAUGACUGAAGCUCGCCGCAAUGGUUAUAAUUGUCGAACCAUGGGUGUCCACUGUUUUAAAGGUUUGGAUUUAUGGCUUGGGUCGUCUGUGACACUUAUAAGGUCGAGCCAUUAUUGUUAUGUUUUAUGUUGUGUUGAUAAGAUUUAAACAGAUAGAUGUCAAAUGGCUUCUUGUUGUAAUUAUUUGUGAUAGAUGUAUAAGUUGUGAUUUUCACUAUUCAGGUUUAUGUUUUCCGCUACAUAGUCAGAUAUAUGUUAUACUCUGUUUUACCAGAUACA